rnacentral:lncRNA from 1 species
UCUUGUUUUGCUUAGCCUCAAAGCUUACACAUAAUCAACAAUGGAGAAUUCAAGAAAUGGUGGAGGAUUUCCACCUGUUAGAGGGCGGAUUAAAGCAAUAAUAUUUCGUAAACUGUGGAAGAAAUUGAAGUUUUGGUGCAACACAGUUUUGGGGAGAACGUGAGAAUAUGUUUUAUUUGUCUGAAAUUCGGGUUUUAAACCAAUUAUUUGAUAAUUUAUAUACGUUAAUUACUAUGGUUUCUGGUUUAUGGUUAGAACGCGCAUCACCUCUUCUUCUUUUUUAUUUGCAUAUGUUGUAUUAUUUCAUUGUUUGAAUUGUGUUGUUCGUAACAUAUAUAUACGUGCA